UGGAGCUGAGCGAAUGCUUUCGCUCAGCAUUUAAUAAACAGAACAGAAAAUAAAAGGUUGGAACACAAAACAGGACACGGCACUAUACGCCAAAACAAAAAAAGACAAACAAAACGGACUAUACAGUGCACGGACAGACACACAAACAAACACGGGACAGUAAGUUCUUCUGGCAUCUGAAGCUCAUUUUUCCACAAAGCCACACCGAAUAUGUAGAGAAGAGGGUACCUGAUGACAGAACACUUGAUGAGAUCCUAAACUCCUAUAUCCAUCCAACGGAAUCUGAUCCCACAGUUCGUCAGAAGU